rnacentral:rRNA from 1 species
UACGUAGGCAGCAAGCGUUGUUCGGAAUUACUGGGCGUAAAGAGUGUGUAGGCGGUGUUCUAAGUCUGUUGUGAAAUCUCCCGGCUUAACUGGGAGGGUGCGGCGGAAACUGGAAUGCUAGAGGAUGGGAGAGGUAAGCGGAAUUCCUGGUGUAGCGGUGAAAUGCGUAGAUAUCAGGAGGAACACCGGCGGUGUAGACGGCUUUCUGGACCGUAGCUGACGCUGAGACACGAAAGCGUGGGUAGCAAACAGG